rnacentral:rRNA from 1 species
UACGUAGGCAGCAAGCGUUGUUCGGAGUUACUGGGCGUAAAGCGCGCGCAGGCGGCCUUUUAAGUCUGAUGUGAAAGCCCACGGCUCAACCGUGGAAGGUCAUUGGAAACUGAAAGGCUUGAGUACAGAAGAGGAAAGCGGAAUUCCACGUGUAGCGGUGAAAUGCGUAGAGAUGUGGAGGAACACCAGUGGCGAAGGCGGCUUUCUGGUCUGUAACUGACGCUGAGGCGCGAAAGCGUGGGGAGCAAACAGG